GGACCGCUAGCUCAGUGGUAGAGCAACCGGCUGCAGCGUUCCACUCAUUCCCCCCUUCUGAUCUCGGAAGCGAGGUGGUGGAGCAAGUGGUUCCGGUAGGUCUCGUGUUCAACUCACGAGCGGUCCU